UACGUAGGGUGCAAGCGUUGUCCGGAAUUAUUGGCGUAAAGAGCUCGUAGGCGGUCUGUCGCGUCUGCUGUGAAAACCUAGGGCUUAACUCUGGGCGUGCAGUGGGUACGGGCAGGCUAGAGUGCGGUAGGGGAGACUGGAAUUCCUGGUGUAGCGGUGAAAUGCGCAGAUAUCAGGAGGAACACCGGUGGCGAAGGCGGCAUCCUGGACCGAACACUGACGCUGAGGAGCGAAAGCCAGGGGAGCAAACGGG
rnacentral:rRNA from 1 species